ensembl:lncRNA
UUUAUAUAAAGUCACCACGUACAUUAGAAAUGAAAGCAACUAAUAUUAGAUCAUCUUUUCCAUCCCCCUGGCACUGUGGAAUUGUUCCCUACAGCCUGUUCCUGAGUGUUUUGUCCAGUCUUCUCUGAAGAAGCUUAAGCAACAGUGUUUCCAUUGCUUCUCCUUGGAAUCCUACCCGACAGUGUAGUAGAUCUGGCUAAUAGGAAACGUUGCUGUAAAGCAUAAAUUUUCCUGCUCUCAGUUUCAUCUCAUUAAUUCCACUUAUACCUCCUUCUCCAGUCCUAAUCAAUUCCUUUGCCUUUUAAGUGUUUAUAUCCUCCUAAGACUUAUGAGGAAUUAUCAUACCCCAAUUAGAUAUCAUCCAGCCAAGAUACUGCAAAGCCCAUUCCCUUCCUUUUCCUUCAGCCCACAUCUAAGCCUUGGAUCAUUUUUUCCGCUCUCUGAAGUCCCUUCAGAUUGUCAUCAAGUUGCCCUCAAUUUAAGCUGAAGAGAGGUCUGGUCCCUAUACUGCAGCCAGAGACGCAGAGAUCGGGUUUCCAGAAUGCUAGCAAUCCCCAGCUUGCUGCAAAGUCAGAUGGAGAUGAGUGGCCACGGAGACCACUCAGGAAGAAAAAGGAAAUAAAGAAGAGUGACAGUUUUCAGGGGAAAAGUCAUGUGAAAUAUCAGCAGAGCAGCAUCAGUGGUGGCACAGGGGGAAAGGCCCCACAGUAGAAGUGCCCCCAGAUCAUCACAUGCCAAUGUCCAUGACCUCAUGAGCAGCAGCAACCCAGUUCUUCUUAACAGGUUCGGUUCAGGAUUAGCUCUCUGGAAAUGGCCCUGGAAGAAAGAUAACAGGCCAUCAGGAUGCGCUGGUGAGGUGCCACUGCUCUGCACGAGGGAAGCGAGUGCUCAAGAUGCCAGCAAGCCUCAUCUGUGUGAGGUGGUGAUGCACCAUGCAAGCUGGACAGCUGUUGCACCCUGAGGUCACCUGGCGGAACUGCUUAAGACUGGUUUUGGUUGCUAUCCACUGGCCCAUACCACGUAUCACAUACUAUGUACAGUGCUCUGAUUGUCCUGUGUGGCCUCUUGACUUGACUGCCCCACCUCCAGAGGCACUUUCUGCACACUCCUGCAUUAUUCUGAAUACAUCUUGAAUGCUCAAUGGGAAGCAUCUAAUUGUGAGGAGAUCCAGUCCCCCUGGCUAAGAGACUGGGGACGUUCUGGAAAGGGAUGCACGAGCUUCACUCCACUCAGGCUGGCAGAAGCCCCUGUGAGAUAUGCAGCUACUCAGUGAGGUGAACAUGGUGGCUUGUUCUUGCUCCAGCCUUCUGCAUCAGGGCCAGGAGGAAAAUAGCAUAGCAAACAGUCAUGGAAGCUGCUUUGCUUCUUUUGAACCUUUCCAUUAGUAUUUGGAAGAUAAAGAAGGUGAGGACGAUGCUUGCUAAAGUGAACAACACCAGGCUUCCACAGACAGGCUGUAGGGUUGUCUAAUUCCUAGUGCUCCAAAUACUUGCUAAAGGCAGUCUUGUUUCAUAUUGUGGCACUGAUUUUCAAACAUGAUGAGCACUAAAAUAGCCCAGUAAAAUCCAAGACCUGACCAUCUUGUUGAUCAUACAAAUUUCAGCAGAAGGCAUUCUUGAUAUACAUAAGGUUCAUGCUCAGUCAUUCCAGCAGUGCUUUGUGGCCACCUAUACCAUCUGCAUCCCAGCACCAAUUGUGAGCACAGGCUGGUAUUUCUGGUAAAAUGCUCAUGGAGGGAAGUGGGCUGUGUGAGCACCUAGUUACUGGGGAUGGGGAGUAUUAAGCAGCAGAGACAUGUUACAACAAGGAGUUCAAGGAAUCUACUGUGAUUCAACAGCUGGUUCAAUCAAACCAGCUGAAACUGCCUUCAGUACCAUCCUGGACCAGAUUUUUCAGAAAAAUUCAGCAGCUUGGUAGCUCAGCCCUUUUGCAAAACAUCUUGCCACUUAUUGUCACAAUAG